GCUAGGUGUAGUGUCGCACACUUGUAAUCCCAUCUACUUGGGAGGCUGAGGCAGGAGGAUUACAAGUUCGAGGCCAACCUAGGCAAUUUAGCAAGACCCUUUCUCAA
rnacentral:sRNA from 1 species